GACGAACGCUGGCGGCGUGCCUAAUACAUGCAAGUAGAACGCUGAAGGAGGAGCUUGCUUCUCUGGAUGAGUUGCGAACGGGUGAGUAACGCGUAGGUAACCUGCCUGGUAGCGGGGGAUAACUAUUGGAAACGAUAGCUAAUACCGCACAAUAGCAGUUGUUGCAUGACAACUGUUUGAAAGGUGCAAUUGCACCACUACCAGAUGGACCUGCGUUGUAUUAGCUAGUUGGUGGGGUAACGGCUCACCAAGGCGACGAUACAUAGCCGACCUGAGAGGGGGAGCGGCCACGCUGGGACUGGGACACGGCCCAGACUCCUACGGGAGGCAGCAGUAGGGAAUCUUCGGCAAUGGACGGAAGUCUGACCGAGCAACGCCGCGUGAGUGAAGAAGGUUGUCGGAUCGUAAAGCUCUGUUGUAAGAGAAGAACGAGUGUGAGAGUGGAAAGUUCACACUGUGACGGUAUCUUACCAGAAAGGGACGGCUAACUACGUG
rnacentral:rRNA from 1 species